UUCAGCUCUUGUGUUUAUGAAUCUGCUGUUUCCACCACUGUACUUGGCACUGCUGCCUCCUAUUGUGAAUGCUGCUGCAAAUGCUAGGCACUCUCAGCACUAUGUGUUUUCCUUUACAGCAAGAUCUGCACAACACUUUUGCAGUCAGGUCUUCCCUGUGGAUCCUGCAGAGCUGCCUUAUGCUGGGGCUCAGACAAGUGACAAUAAAGAUGCCACCCAGGAGGUUUAUCAUGUGAUGUGAAAGCAGCAGGAUAAGAAAGGAAGGUCACCUUACUGCUAGAACAGAUUGUCCUGGGAGGAAUGGAGAGAGACAAAUGUGCAUAGUCAUCUUUUGAAGUGGAGAAUGGAUUAGAACAGGUCUGCAAGCCUGAUCUAACCAGCAAGGUGUUUCAUCCAGCAUGAUGCCUCAUCCUGGAGAGUACAAGCAGCAUCUUGGGAGAGUAUGUAUUACUUCUCACCUUUGGCAGACUGAACUCUGGCGGAGGUAAUUCCACACCAAGUCUGAUCUUUUGUUUUCCGUAGGAAGUAAGGAGGCAAGGCAGAUGGAGAGACUGAAUCAUGGUGAGACAACUUACAGGAAGAGCUGUCCUUUGUGGAAAUCAGUUGUACAGUACCCAAUGUUCACCAGGAGAUCACACUCCUUUGCUGGAGCCAGGGGCUGCCGGUUCAGCUGGAAACCACAGUGCUUCUGGAUGACGUUUUCCUCUCCUCCCACUGAAUCAGCCUUUUAUUUACCCAUUGGAAUGCAAAGUAACAGGACACCCU
rnacentral:lncRNA from 1 species